GUUCAUUUUCCUUUGCUCUAUCCUAUUUCCUGUGUGUUUUUGAUGCAAUUAUAAAGGGUAUAUUCCAAAAAAACUAAAUCAAUUUACAGGGUUACAGUUAUGAAUGUUGUGCCUUAACGUGCGGGAAGAAGAAUGCAGCGAAGAAGAAGCAGCUCUUCUGUUUAUCGCCACCUGGGAGCCCCUGGGUUCUUAUGAUUUAUCUUGUGGCAAAAACGGUG
rnacentral:lncRNA from 1 species